rnacentral:rRNA from 1 species
CUGGCGGCGUGCCUAACACAUGCAAGUCGAACGAGGUCCAUCCUUCGGGAGAAGACCUAGUGGCGAACGGGUGAGUAACACGUGAGGAACCUGCCCCGAAGACCGGGAUAACCCUCCGAAAGGAGAGCUAAUACCGGAUAACCCCACCGAGCCGCAUGGUUUGGUGAGGAAAUGGAUUCCGCUUCGGGAGGGCCUCGCGGCCUAUCAGCUAGUUGGUGGGGUUAACGGCCCACCAAGGCAUCGACGGGUAGCUGGUCUGAGAGGACGAUCAGCCACACUGGGACUGAGACACGGCCCAGACUCCUACGGGAGGCAGCAGUGGGGAAUCUUGCGCAAUGGGCGAAAGCCUGACGCAGCAACGCCGCGUGGGGAUGAAGGCUCUCGGGUUGUAAACCCCUUUCAGCAGGGACGAAUCAAGACGGUACCUGCAGAAGAAGCCCCGGCUAACUACGUG